rnacentral:lncRNA from 1 species
CUAACAGGCAGUUUGGAAUUUUGCUUCUGCUUUUUAAACUUUUUCUUUCUUUCUUUUGUUUUGGAGGCAGACUAGAGAAAGGAAAAUUAAUAGAAACUGGGCUUCAAGUGCAAGAGCCACACACCUUUUUUUUUGAAAAAAAUCAAGGAAGAGUGAAGCAGAGCUUGGCUGGAGAGUGUUCAUUGGCAGAAAUGAUAUGAAGCUGAGACAAGAACCAAACCUCAUUAGUGUCAAAUGUCUCCUUCCUUUCCAGCUGCAGCCAGAGCAGAACCUAAGGAUGUGUGGUUGGGAGUCAGCAACUCCAAGCCUCAGAACAGCAAUCCGGUUUCUAUAUCUUCCAAGGGGUGGGGGCCGUUUUUCAGAUGGGGAUUUAUUUUUCACUCUGUGCUUUUCUACAGUGAGUUUUGGGAUACUCCUCCUCAUUCCUAGCCUCUGUGGACUUGAUAAUGCUCCAGUCAGUACUGGAGUAAUUGAAGAGAGGUAAAUGGCCCAGAGGCUGAUAGGUAGGUCAAUAUUUAUUGAGGAAGAGCUGAGGUCCUGGAGGGAUGAUUCCUUCAGUGCUGGCUGGGGUUGGGGUGGAAGUCUGGAAACCUGAGUUGAUCCCUGGUGGACAAGAACUUGGGGUUAAGAGAUGAGUGGUGAGAAGGAUCAGGGAAUGUAGAAACUACAACAGGAAGCUCUGCGUUGAGCAAAGAGUUUAUGAAAUAGGGCUUGCACAUAGUAGGACCAUGAAAAAUAUUUGCUGAACAAGUAAAUGAACAGAGAAAUUAUGUCACGAGUGAAGUUGAAGUUGUUCCUGGGGCUAAGGAG